AAUGAACGCUGGCGGCAGGCCUAACACAUGCAAGUCGAGCGGACCCUUCGGGGUUAGCGGCGGACGGGUGAGUAACGCGUGGGAAUAUGCCCUUCUCUACGGAAUAGUCCUGGGAAACUGGGGGUAAUACCGUAUACGCCCUUUGGGGGAAAGAUUUAUCGGGGAAGGAUUAGCCCGCGUUGGAUUAGGUAGUUGGUGGGGUAAUGGCCUACCAAGCCGACGAUCCAUAGCUGGUUUGAGAGGAUGAUCAGCCACACUGGGACUGAGACACGGCCCAGACUCCUACGGGAGGCAGCAGUGGGGAAUCUUAGACAAUGGGGGCAACCCUGAUCUAGCCAUGCCGCGUGAGUGAUGAAGGCCUUAGGGUUGUAAAGCUCUUUCAGCUGGGAAGAUAAUGACGGUACCAGCAGAAGAAGCCCCGGCUAACUCCGUG
rnacentral:rRNA from 1 species